UACGAAGGGGGCUAGCGUUGCUCGGAAUUACUGGGCGUAAGCGCACGUCGGCGGCUUUCUAAGUCGGGGGUGAAAUCCUGGAGCUCAACUCCAGAACUGCCUUCGAUACUGGAAAGCUCGAGUCCGGGAGAGGUGAGUGGAACUGCGAGUGUAGAGGUGAAAUUCGUAGAUAUUCGCAAGAACACCAGUGGCGAAGGCGGCUCACUGGCCCGGUACUGACGCUGAGGUGCGAAAGCGUGGGGAGCAAACAGG
rnacentral:rRNA from 1 species